ensembl:lncRNA
CAGAGGCGGCGCGGGAAGGUGCGGCGCACCCUCGUCGUCCCCUCUCGUCGCGCUCCCGCCAGUGACGCUGAACCUAGCAGCGCUGCGGGCGGCUUCGACCGUAAGCUGGUAAUUGCCUCGACUUGCCGGCUUUCUAAAGGCCACGUGCUGUGUUCCAGUUCUUGAAGACAAAUGAAGGCCAACGACUGGAGCGACAUUUUGGAUACGAGGGGAUUUUCUGGACCCAGGGAUCAAGUUGCAUCUCCUGUACUGGCAGGCGGAUUCUUCACUGUCUGAGCCACCAGUAUUUUUAGGUAUCUUUGGGCUUUCCUGGUGGCUCAGCUGGGAAGAAGCCUGCAAUGAAGAGACACAGGAGACAUGAGUUGGAUCCCUGGGUUGGGAAGAUUUCCUAGAGGAAGAAAU